GACGAACGCUAGCGGCAGGCCUAAUACAUGCAAGCCGAACGGUAGCAGCAAUGUCACAGUGGCGCACGGGUGCGUAACGCGUAGGCAUCUGCCUACUCCUGGGGGAUAGCCCGCCGAAAGGUGGAUUAAUACCGCAUAAGACGACAGGGCGGCAUCGACGAGUAGUUAACGAAUUUCGGGAGUAGAUGAGCCUGCGGGCCAUUAGCUAGUUGGUGCGGUAACGGCGCACCAAGGCGACGAUGGCUAGGGGAGCUGUGAGGCCGAUCCCCCACACUGGCACUGAGAUACGGGCCAGACUCCGACGGGAGGCAGCAGUAGGGAAUAUUGGGCAACGGGCGCGAGCCUGACCCAGCCAUGCCGCGUGACGGAUGAAGGCCUUCUGGGUUGUAAACGUCUUUUGAUCGGGAAGAAAAAGCCCUUGCGAGGGAAAUCGACGGUACCGAUUGAAUAAGCACCGGCUAACUCCGUGCCAGCAGCCGCAGUAACAC
rnacentral:rRNA from 1 species